AGUACUUUAUGCGUCAAAAGGAUUCGUCUGCCCAAGGAUGGGUCUGCGGCCUAUCAGGUAGUAGUGGGUGUAAUGUACCUACUAGCCAGCGACGGGUACGGGUUGUGAGAGCAAGAGCCCGGAGAUGGAUUCUGAGACAUGAAUCCAGGCCCUACGGGGCGCAGCAGGCGCGAAAACUUUACAAUGCGGGAAACCGUGAUAAGGGGACACCGAGUGCCAGCAUCAUAUGCUGGCUGUCCGGAUGUAUAAAAUACAUCCGUUAGCAAGGGCCGGGCAAGACCGGUGCCAGCCGCCGCGGUAACACCGGCGGCCCGAGUGGUGAUCGUGAUUAUUGGGUCUAAAGGGUCCGUAGCCGGUUUGGUCAGUCCUCCGGGAAAUCUGAUAGCUCAACUAUUAGGCUUUCGGGGGAUACUGCCAGACUUGGAACCGGGAGAGGUAAGAGGUACUACAGGGGUAGGAGUGAAAUCUUGUAAUCCCUGUGGGACCACCUGUGGCGAAGGCGUCUUACCAGAACGGGUUCGACGGUGAGGGACGAAAGCUGGGGGCACGAACCGGAUUAGAUACCCGGGUAGUCCCAGCCGUAAACGAUGCUCGCUAAGUGUCAGGCAUGGCGCGACCGUUGUCUGGUGCCGCANGGAAGCCGUGAAGCGAGCCACCUGGGAAGUACGGCCGCAAGGCUGAAACUUAAAGGAAUUUGGCGGGGGGAACACAACAACCGGGUGGANCCUGCGGUUUAAUUUGGACUCAACGCCGGGACAACUCAACCGG
rnacentral:rRNA from 1 species